GAUGAACGCUGGCGGCGUGCCUAAUACAUGCAAGUCGGGCGAACGGACGAGAAGCUUGCUUCUCUGAUGUUAGCGGCGGACGGGUGAGUAACACGUGGAUAACCUACCUAUAAGACUGGGAUAACUUCGGGAAACCGGAGCUAAUACCGGAUAAUAUUUUGAACCGCAUGGUUCAAAAGUGAAAGACGGUCUUGCUGUCACUUAUAGAUGGAUCCGCGCUGUAUUAGCUAGUUGGUAAGGUAACGGCUUACCAAGGCAACGAUGCAUAGCCGACCUGAGAGGGUGAUCGGCCACACUGGAACUGAGACACGGUCCAGACUCCUACGGGAGGCAGCAGUAGGGAAUCUUCCGCAAUGGGCGAAAGCCUGGCGGAGCAACGCCGCGUGAGUGAUGAAGGUCUUCGGAUCGUAAAACUCUGUUAUUAGGGAAGAACAUAUGUGUAAGUAACUGUGCACAUCUUGACGGUACCUAAUCAGAAAGCCACGGCUAACUACGUG
rnacentral:rRNA from 1 species